rnacentral:lncRNA from 1 species
GGAUUUGAAACAAAAAAUUAAAAAAAAAUAAUUAUUUCAAACUAAUGACUAUCAUUUCUUAACUGAUUACCGUCUUCUUAAUUGAAGCCAUAUUUCCUAACAAAAAGAAAAGCUUCAUUCUCUCAACAUUCCUUUAACCCUACAUUCCUUAUAUUCAUAAUGUCCUUUCCCUAUCUACAAAUUCCUAUUCCUCUUUUAAAAAUCAUUUUUUAGAUAAUUUUAAAUUUUCACGAACUGUGAAAAAUGUGAUGAGAGAAUUUAUUAUUGUUAUUAAAUAAAAUUCAACAUUAUUAGAUUUUUCUUACAAAUUUUAAAGAAGAAAAGAGCAUCGAUUUCCCUUAAAGAUUUUAAAGAAGAGAAGAGAAGGAUUUGACCUUUUUUUACAGAUUUUAAAGAAGAAAAAGAGAGAGAUUUGACUUUUUUUUUAUUGUGGAAUAAUAUUAUGUGUCACGAUCCGGAACUUUCAUCGAGCCCGUGACAACCGUCGCGAUGUCCCGACAGACAUUCAUUAUCUGGUAUACCAAUCGAAAUCUCGCAAGGCUUAACAUCAGUUUUCAUGCUUCCCCUGUGAGUAUUAGUUACUAAAAUCAUGUUUUGAAGUGAUAUGAACUAAUUUCAAUUCAAAAACAGUCAAAGAGAAGUUUCAACUACACAAGGGUAUUUUGGUUUUUUUUUUUUAAAAAUUCGAAACUAGCUAAAAAUGUAGUAUGUGGGUAGAAAACACAUAUUUCAUAAUCAAAAAUAAGUUUAGAUAUCUAAAACAUUCAUUUAAAGUGAAAUUAUAACUAUUUGAAUAUAAUAAAAAUAUUCUAUUUUUUUAUAAAACAAUAUUUAUAGAGUUACUGGUAAAUAAUUUUUGUAACGUAAAAACUAAAUAAAUUCAUACAUACUGUAAUAUAGAUAACCAAAGCAUAAGAUUUAAUUUACAGUGGCAUGUGGGCCCACGAACGACCAAAAGUAUCAAAAGCGGUAAUCCUACAAUUUUUUUGAGGAUGCAAGUCCAACUGUAGCCCUCAACGAAAUGAGCUAUUUACCGACUAUCCUGAACUUGAAAUAGGUGGAAAUGAGGGUGGUGAGAUUAUAUAAUCCCAGUGAGCAAACAAAUAUCAUCUAAAAUAUAUAAAGCCGAAUAAAUGGAGAUAGAUUAAAAUAGAUUAUUAUACUAUAAUUCAUCACCUUUCAACUUAAUUCAACCAAAUAAAAUCAAUUCAUAUAAAUCGAGUAAUCAACAUGGCUUAUGAAUUUCUUAAAACUUUGGCUCGUGCCAAAAUCAUUCUCAUAUUCGGUUGUUAGGGAUACCUUGACUUGAGGCUAUACCAACUGAGUCUGCCAAGGCUGUAAAAAAAAAAUCAUGUACGCAUAAAUCAUGUUUUUAUUUUGAAAACAUAGUCGUUCCUUGGCGUUGGCUGAGUUCACCCUCACGUGGUGGUUUGGCGUGAAGUGAACUCUAAAGUUGUACCUCGAAAGUUACCUUACACGCCUCUCCGACCGAGGUAAGAAUAUAAUGGGGUUACCGUGCCCCGCUAAUAGGUUAGUCCACGGAACCCGCCCACUACAGCAAGCUAAACCCACCAACUCAAUAAAAUCUCAACCACAUGACAUGGCAAUUAUAUCACAAUCCAGCCUCUCAAGGCUAAAUACACAGUUCAUAUAUUUCAAUACAAAUACCAAUUCAGUCAUUCAUGCAAAUAUUGUCAUAAGCCAUUCGAUUCAAACCAUGAAUUUGCAACACAUGAAAACAGCCUCCAAUUACUCUAUUUUCAAACCAUCAUUUAAUUUCAAGACAAUGUUAUAAAAUCAUUUCAUUAAAUCACAUUUUAAUUACAAAACACAAAGAUUUACCAUUUAACUCAUUUUCAAUAAAAUCACAAAAUCGGAUAAAAACCACUUUAGAUAAUUAAGAUGAUAGUAAGGUUACUCACUGUAAUGGGAAUCGAAUUUCGAGUACUCCGAUUCUUGAUCCUCAUGUACUAUCUCUUUACUUUUGUUAGAAUGCUCACCACCUAGACAUAAUGCACAAUAAGCCAUUUACUACAUUUGUGCUAAACUGUUGUAAAACCAAUUUAGGCUUUAUACUAAUGCAUGAAAUGAGAUGUGAAAUACUCGGGUAACUAUCUAAAUACGGUGUUCAAUAUAAAUUCAAUUAUGUACCUAAAUAAAAUGGUAUUGGCCUAAUUUGAUCUAUCACCCAAUUAAUUGGCCAAUAUGUCCAAUUUAACUCCAAUUAACUCCAUUUUUCUUUCAAUUCUCCAAACCAUCAAACACAAGUUAAAUAACUUGAAAUAUGGCAAAAUCAUCUUCACAUUUUCUCUUGGGAAUUUCGACCAUGGUGGGUGCAUCAAUACUAUGAUUUUUCCUACUUGAUUUUCUCACCAUAAUUCAUCAUUUCCUAACCAAUUCACUUGAAAUAAAAUCAAAUCCACCAUCCACACCCUACAUGAAAGAUUCGGCCAAUGAUGGGUUAUGGAAGAACAUGAAUUUUUCUUACUUGAUUUUCAUGCUACACAUCACCAAUCAACUAAAAACACUAGAAUAUCUUAAAAUCUAACCAAAACAACCAUCAAAAUCUCUCUCUAAGUGUUCGGCCAGCACGAGAUCCAUCAUGAAAUCAUGUGAUUCAACCAUGGAAAAUGCAAAAGAAUGUAUGGGAAAGGUAGAUCACAAGUCAAAAUCAAGAAAUUUUACCUUUUAUUGCUUGAUUACAUGAAAUCCACCAAUUUUCUCUUGAAUUUUCACUCUAGGGUUUUUGUUCUUUCUUUUCUUUCUUUGUUCUUGCUUUGGCCGGCCAUAAGAAUGAAUGUGGAAGAGUUCAAAUUGGCUUUAUAAAGGAAAAUAUUAAAUGGACAAAAAUUUACCAUGUGUCACCAUUCCAUUGGUCCAUGUGUCAUACUUACCCAUUAAGCAAUCUCUCUCCACCAUAUAAAAUUCUUCAAUUAUCCAUGACAAUAAUAGGUGAAAUUCAUGUGCUGGACAAGUGUUGGGUGUGUAAAAUUACAAUUUUACCCUUGAGGUGGCAAAAUGACUAUUUUGCCCAUUAUGCUCGAAAAAUGUCGGAAUUAAAAUUAUUCACUUCUCAAACUCAAAUUAUACUCCAAAUGAUCAAUCUUAGUCAAAAAUUUCAUCCAACACUCACAUCUUAACCUUGAGUAGCAAAAUGACCAUUUUACCCCUACGUCAUGAAAAUUUUAAUUUGACUCCAAAUCAGUCCUCGAACUUCGAAUCACCAUUUUAAGUCAUUUUGGGGUUUUAAAAUUCUCAAUUUCAUCUUAAAAUCUCUGUUUGGACUAGUUCAAGGCUUAAUUCAACUUAAUUGUACCAUUUGGUACAAUACAGUCCUUUAACGAUUUACAAGGUACCCAAGUAAGCAAACAUGCAUUUUUAUGUAAGAAUGACAUAAUAAACAUAUUGUAGAGCUGGGCUUGAUAUUAUUUGUCUUUACUAGUUUCAAUAUUAUAAACAUAGUACAUAAGUGUAGAAGUCUCAAUAACAAUAUGGCAAAAAAGGUGAAUUGGUCUGUGUGUGUAUAUAUAAAUAUAUAUAAAUUUCUUUAAAAAUAUAUUUAUUAAAAAUAAACCUUUUCACCCAAAAAUGUUUUCUAACACUAGAAGCAAAUAUCUAGCAAUAAAUAUCAAAGUAUAAAUAUAAUGAAUCAAGUAAAAAUAUUUUUUCUAAGAGAAAAAAAAUAAAUCAAUAUAAAUCUAUUUUCUAAGGCAAGUAUAAACAAUAAAAUAAUAAUGAGAGAACUAAAUAAAGACACAAACGAUUUAUAGUAGUUCAGUUUUUCGAUGCCUAUAUCCACUCUCUUAGUUUCCAAGGAAUUUCAAUCUACUAUCAAUGAAUCUAGCUUUUUAAUAGGAAGUAAUAAUCCUUACACAAUCCACAAAGGGAUUCUUUCUUUUUUACGGGAUUAAGUGAUAACUCUUACAAUCCACAAAAGGAUUCUUACCUUUUACGGGAUCAAUUAGUAACUCACACAAUCCACAAAGGAUUUUUGUUUUUUGGUAGGAAGUGAUAACCUUUACAAGAUAGCUUUCAAGGUUAAGUUAGAACCUUUACAAUAGAGUACAAAUUUCAGCUAGAAAAUACCUCUACAAAGGUUGAGUGUCAAAAUUUUAAGCUUGUUUGUAGUGAGAUAAGAAAUUUAAGCUUGAAUGAAGUAAGGAUUCAACUUUGAAAGCUUGAUAGAAGACUAAAAAUAUGCUAAAGAGUGAGGAUGAGCUUGUGAGUAGUCUUUAUAGGGUUUGAAACUUUAUCUCAGGUCUUCUCUUACCUCAAAAUAGCUUAAAUGCGUCUAUUUAUAGCUAGAGCAUGAUUUGGAACUGUUAGACACAAGUUUGAAUCAAAUCUAAUUGCUACUAAAACUUGAGGGUCGACUACAACGCUCCUAAGGUCAAUUAUGUUUUUCAAAUUUCCUCACAUAGGGCUUCAUAGGCGUGUAAAAUUGUCCACUAGUUUAUCCACUUCUAGAAAGCAUGUAUUCUUCAAAUCUGACCUUCUAUAGUUGAUUAUGUUAGGAUGAGCUCUCCAACCACUUGGGAUUGGUUAAUGCUUGAAUCCAAUCAUGCAAUAAAAUAAUUCAUGUUGAAUGACUAUAGGUUUUCUUUCAUCAAUAAAACAUCAAUUAUAGUGAGUUAUAAGUCUAAUUGGAUGACGUUCAUGAGAUUAAUAUGUCUUGCAAAGGAACUGUAAUUGGUUGAAGUUAUGAGAUCUUUAUACAUUAAAGCAUAAUCUCAAAAUGUUCUUGGUCAAUGUAUCAUUGAGACUAGAUAUCAAUUAUACUUAAAGACUAGUAUAUUCUAUGUUCCUUACUUUGGAAGUAAGUAAUCGAUCUCAUAGAUUGAACUAUAGAGAUACUUGAAACUAGAAUAUAGGUGCUUGAUUAAGACAGAAAAUUCACUAAACAUGACCCACUAUGAGAAGUGCAUUGGGUAAUGCACUGUAGUGUCUAUGCAACACUUCUCAUAUGUUAGUCGUGUAAAUACAAUCUAAACUUGAGACACCAGGUUGUCUUAUAUGUGGAGUACUAUGUUUUAAUUUCAUCCUUAAAGGUGCCUAACCAAGGAUGCCAAAAUAGGAUGCUUUUGGGUAUAGUAUAAAGCAUGUAAAGGCAAAUAAGUGGUCAAGAUAGGAAUCAUCACCUCAAGUGUUUUAGAGGAAAUAUCCUAUCAGUUCUUGGUUAACAUUAGUUUAUUAAAGCCUUUGGCCAAGGUGACGUGGAGAUAAUGAAAAGGUUUCAUAAGUCUCUAUAAAGCUAAUAUGAUAACUGUAAAAACAAAUAUGAAGGUUAAUAAGAGUAGAUACUGUACCAAGCUCUUAUCAUUUCCAGGAUAUAUGAUGAGGGAAUGAAUUACAUUGAUAGACUGUAUACUGAAAAGUUAUCAAAAAACCCUUUGGCUCUCUUAACAAUUAGGUGGCCAUGAUGCAUUGCUAUAUGUCAGUCUUGGUCUAUGAAAUUGAUUAUAAAUUUAUUGAUUGAAAUUUAUAUUAAUCAAUUAAGCCAUUAAUUAAUUCCAUUGCCAACAUAUUAAGAACCUAAUGGGUCACACACAAUGAUUGCACUUGAAUUAAAUUAGGAAAAUGAUGAUUGAAGUUAUACUUAAAUCACAUGCUAAGUAAUUAACUUCUAUAAACUUAAUUAAAAGAGUUUAAUUAACUUUUAGGCAUAAUUAUAAUUAUAAGGCAUUGAUUACAAAAUAUAAAGGAAAUUAAUUUUGAUUUUAAUUUUCAAGGACUUAGUUAAAAAAGCUUAAUUAAGUAAUGAGCUUAAUAUUAAUAUUAUAAUGUGUUAUAAUAUUGAAGGCUUAAUUGCAAAAUUGAAGUUCUUUUAACCUAACUAUAUAAGUCACCUUUUAACUAUUUUCCAUAUGAGAGUUUUUCACAAUUAAAGAAAACCUAGUUUUUGUUAGAAAAAGAAAAAAAACAUUUUCUCUCUUUGUCGCCACUCCUUUUGUGUGAAAGAGAAAAUUGCUUUUGAAGUAAUUUGGCUAAGAUUGUGAAAAAGAAGAAAAGGACAAUUGUUGUCCUCUUUGCUAACACAAAGUAUAGUUAAAAAAUUCUCUUUUUUGUUGAAGGUUCAUGUGCAAUUGUGUGUACUACAGUUGGAGGCUAAAUACUUGAUUGGCUAGUGUUUUUGCUUCUUGUGGUGUUUGCGGAAUUGCUUCAGGAAGUGCCAUUGUGAUUACAAAAUUACUUGGCAAGGUAACUUUCUAAAUAAUAAUUAAUUUUGUUCUUUUAUGUGUUAAAUACCACCCAGAUGAUCCAUGGGUGGAGGCAUGUUUUGGUUAUUUAGUUCUAAAUUUUUUAUUUUCUUUCCGCUGCGUAUUUUGAGCAUGCCAUCCAUAACCAAACCCAUCAGACUAUGCGUCUCUUAUAGUCGACUAUGGUUUCUUAAAGUUGACUUUUUCUAUCAUGACCCGGUACUCUCCUCGAUCCCGUGACAACCGUCGCGAUGUUUCGAUAGACAUUCAUUACCCAAAAUGCCAACUGAAACCCCGCAAGGCUUUAAUAUCAGUUUUCGCACCUCCCCUAUGAGCAACAAUUGUUAAGUAUCAUGUUUUGAGAGAUUAUAAAUUAUUUCCAAAUCAAAACAAUAGAAAAAUAAUUUUUUUCUCACAGGGGCAUUUUAGUCAUUUUUCCUCUAAAAUCUCGAAACCAGUUAAAAAUGUAGUAUGCAAGUGGAAAACACAUAUUUCAUAAUCAAAAAUAAGUUUAGAUAUCUAAAACAUUCAUUUAAAGUGAAAUUAUACCUAUUUGAAUAUAAUAAAAAUAUUCAAUAAAAUAUUCUAUUUUCUUAUAAAAUAAUAUUUAUAGAGUUACCGGUAAAUAAUUUUUGUAACGUAAAAGCUAAAUAAAUUCAUACAUACUACAAUACAGAUAACCAAAGCAUAAGAUUUAAUUUACAGUGACACGUGGGCUCAUGAACAACCAAAAGUAUCAAAAGCGGUAAACUUACAGUUUUUGAGGAUGCAAGUCCAACUAUGUACCUAAAUAAAACGGUAUUGGCCUAAUUCGAUCUAUCACCCGAUUAAUUAGCCAAUACGUCCAAUUCAACUCCAAAUAAUUCUAUUUUUCUCUCAAUACUCCAAAUCAUCAAACACAAAUUAAAUAACUUGAAAUAUGACAAAAUCAUCCUCACAUUUUCUCUUGAAAAAUUUGGCCAUGGUGGGUGCAUCAAUACUAUGAUUUUUCCUACUUGAUUCUCACACCAUAAAUCACUAAUUUCUAACCAAAUCACUUGAAAUAAAAUCAAAAUCAUUAUUAAUAUUCCACAUGGAGAAUUCGGCCAAUGAUGGUGAUGGGAGAAAAUGAAUUUUUCUUGCUUGAUUUUCAUGCUACACAUCACCAAUCAACUAAAAACACUAAAAUACAUUGAAAUCUAACCAAAUCAAGCAUCAAAAACUCUCUCUAAGUGUUCAACCAGCAAGAUACCCAUCAUGAAAUCAUGUGAUUCAACCAUGGAAAAUGCAAAAGAAUGUAUGGGAAAGGUAGAUCACAAGUCAAAAUCAAGAAAUUUUACCUUUGAUUGCUUGAUUACUUGAAAUCCACUAAUUUUUCUCUUGAAUUUUCACCCUAGGGUUCUUUUUCUUUCUUUUCUUCCUUUGUUCUUGCUUUGGCUGGCC